rnacentral:rRNA from 1 species
GAUGAACGCUGGCGGCGUGCCUAAUACAUGCAAGUCGAGCGAACAGACGAGGAGCUUGCUCCUCUGACGUUAGCGGCGGACGGGUGAGUAACACGUGGAUAACCUACCUAUAAGACUGGGAUAACUUCGGGAAACCGGAGCUAAUACCGGAUAAUAUAUUGAACCGCGUGGUUCAAUAGUGAAAGACGGUUUUGCUGUCACUUAUAGAUGGAUCCGCGCCGCAUUAGCUAGUUGGUAAGGUAACGGCUUACCAAGGCAACGAUGCGUAGCCGACCUGAGAGGGUGAUCGGCCACACUGGAACUGAGACACGGUCCAGACUCCUACGGGAGGCAGCAGUAGGGAAUCUUCCGCAAUGGGCGAAAGCCUGACGGAGCAACGCCACGUGAGUGAUGAAGGUCUUCGGAUCGUAAAACUCUGUUAUUAGGGAAGAACAAAUGUGUAAGUAACUAUGCACGUCUUGACGGUACCUAAUCAGAAAGCCACGGCUAACUACGUG